rnacentral:lncRNA from 1 species
GGACGUGGUUCUUAUCGAUUCGUCACCAUUCGCGUCCGCCUCAGGGGAGGCCCCGGCGGUCGGGGCAGCUGCCCUUAGCGACUCCUUGUCGGGGCAGCCGGAGGCUUCGUCCCUGCCCUUGCCUGCCCCCGCCCCUCCGCCAUCAGUCACCGUGGGGGCGGGUGGUAGCCCUAGGGUGUCGCUGCCAGCCCCGGGUUCCGCCGGCCUUCGGGAACAAGCGGUGCUGGCCGUGGUAGCCGGUGGGAGUGCGUUGCCUGUGCGGCCUGUAGGGGGCGACGAAGCAGAGGUGGAGGAGUGACAGCGAUUAGAGUUGGUCCUGCUUCGAGCUGACGCGGGCCUGGAGACCAUUGAGCGGAUGCUCAGUGGUUUCGGGGAGGCGAUCUCGAUUGCCGAGGCAUCGGUGACGGCGGACUUCAUUCCCUUUGGUCGGGUGAGUGUUUCUUCCGUCGUCGUCCUUUUCGCCAUCUUUUGCUCACGCCGGUCCUUGUCCGCUUGGUUCGCUCUCCCAGCGCCUUCUUGUGCGAUCGGAGGCUCGGGCGGAGGCGCUGCAGGCCCUUUCUUGCGCCUCGUCGGAGUCUGA